GGUUAAGCGACUAAGCGUACACGGUGGAUGCCCUGGCAGUCAGAGGCGAUGAAGGACGUGCUAAUCUGCGAUAAGCGUCGGUAAGGUGAUAUGAACCGUUAUAACCGGCGAUUUCCGAAUGGGGAAACCCAGUGUGAUUCGUCACACUAUCAUUAACUGAAUCCAUAGGUUAAUGAGGCGAACCGGGGGAACUGAAACAUCUAAGUACCCCGAGGAAAAGAAAUCAACCGAGAUUCCCCCAGUAGCGGCGAGCGAACGGGGAGCAGCCCAGAGCCUGAAUCAGUGUGUGUGUUAGUGGAAGCGUCUGGAAAGGCGUGCGAUACAGGGUGACAGCCCCGUACACAAAAAUGCACAUACUGUGAGCUCGAUGAGUAGGGCGGGACACGUGGUAUCCUGUCUGAAUAUGGGGGGACCAUCCUCCAAGGCUAAAUACUCCUGACUGACCGAUAGUGAACCAGUACCGUGAGGGAAAGGCGAAAAGAACCCCGGCGAGGGGAGUGAAAAAGAACCUGAAACCGUGUACGUACAAGCAGUGGGAGCACGCUUAGGCGUGUGACUGCGUACCUUUUGUAUAAUGGGUCAGCGACUUAUAUUCUGUAGCAAGGUUAACCGAAUAGGGGAGCCGAAGGGAAACCGA
rnacentral:rRNA from 1 species